rnacentral:rRNA from 1 species
UACAGAGGUCUCAAGCGUUGUUCGGAUUCAUUGGGCGUAAAGGGUGCGUAGGCGGCGCGGUAAGUCGGGUGUGAAAUCUCGGGGCUUAACUCCGAAACUGCAUUCGAUACUGCCGUGCUUGAGGACUGGAGAGGAGACUGGAAUUUACGGUGUAGCGGUGAAAUGCGUAGAUAUCGUAAGGAAGACCAGUGGCGAAGGCGGGUCUCUGGACAGUUCCUGACGCUGAGGCACGAAGGUCAGGGGAGCAAACGGGG